ACUCAUGUUUCUCUUCAGAUCGUAUAAAUCUUUCGCCUUUUAUUAAAGAUUUCCGUGGAGAGGAACAUUAUGAGUUCAAAUGAUUUUUUGAUGCCCUGCCUCAUGUGGGGCU
rnacentral:snRNA from 1 species